rfam:Ricinus communis ctg_1100012358440, whole genome shotgun sequence.
GGACGGUGACGAUUUCAUUUGUGAAAGGUCUCGUUCGUCGUAAUUGGCUGUUAAAGGCCUUGACGACCAUCCUGAUAUAUCACCACCCAUAUUCCGAGUUC